UGAUAGCUGGGCUUCGCGCUCGGUAUUUCAAUCCCUGGGACCAUAAUCUUCUGUAGGGAGCUGCCUCUGGCAGGGUUGCGAUCUUGCUAUUGCGGCGCCCACCUGUUUUACAGGUCACAGAGGAUGAAAAAAAACUAACGGCUGUCCUGGCUGUCAC
rnacentral:other from 1 species